GAGGGGAUAGCUCAAGUGGUAGAGCACAUGCUUAGCAUGCAUGAGGCCCUGGGUUCAAUCCCCAGUGCCUCCU
rnacentral:tRNA from 1 species